AUCGAAGUUGAUCUUCCGAUCAAAUACGUUCAUGGUUCCAGAGUCAGUGUGACACAGUCUCCUCUCUAUCUGAUCAAGGGUAAAGAAAAGGCGCCGCUUGAGCACAUCCGGGUGCUGG